CUGCGUUCCCCGUCGUUCGACGCGUCGAGUCCACAACAGUCCACAAUCGAGUCUCGUGAUCUUAUCGUCGCUGAUAAUAGGAUGGGUUUACGCGGUUUAUGUUGCGCCUGGACCUGGAUGUAUUUAUAAAAUAUUUCUUUAGUUUUAUUAUGUUGAAUGUGUUGUAGAAUUGUUAUAAGGUGAGGCGCAGCCUCAGAGGCCUACCUUGAGGAGCCGCC